rnacentral:rRNA from 1 species
GACGAACGCUGGCGGCGUGCUUAACACAUGCAAGUCGAACGGAAAGGCCCUGCUUUUGUGGGGUGCUCGAGUGGCGAACGGGUGAGUAACACGUGAGUAACCUGCCCUUGACUUUGGGAUAACUUCAGGAAACUGGGGCUAAUACCGGAUAGGAGCUCCUGCUGCAUGGUGGGGGUUGGAAAGUUUCGGCGGUUGGGGAUGGACUCGCGGCUUAUCAGCUUGUUGGUGGGGUAGUGGCUUACCAAGGCUUUGACGGGUAGCCGGCCUGAGAGGGUGACCGGCCCCGGUGGGCCUGAGGUACGGACCGGCGUCCGCCGGGGGGCAGCAGUGGGGUAGCGUGCAUAAGGCGCGGACGCUUUAUGCCGCUCCGCCGUGUGAGGGAUGACGGCUUUCGGUUUGGAAACCGGAUGCGCCUGUGACGAAGCGGGAGUGACGGUGAUGGGUAAAGAAGAACCGGCUAACUCCGUG